rnacentral:lncRNA from 1 species
UGAGUGCAUAUGUGAUAAUAAGGAGUUAGCCUAACCUGCAGUAGUUAAUGUGGUUUUUCUGAAAUUCUCAAUUUUUAUGGAUUAAGCUGCCUUUAGGUCUGCUUUAGGUAGCUUCUUUCUUAAAAUCUUUCCAUGUUUUUUAACAUGGCCUGCAGUCAGAACGCUGGGAUCCAAUGCAUGUGCAACAGGAAUGAAUAGUUUACCAAGGCUUCUUUUCUGUCUACAUAUGUUUUCAAUAGAGAACCCAGCCCAUUAUUACUAUUGAUAAAAAGAGAGGGAGAGAUGAUUCUGCACUGGUUGGGUUAAAUAGUCACAAUGAAUUUGUGGGGCUUAUUCACUAAGAUAAAUAUUAUCAACGGGGGAAUAAACUGUAGUAACCCUUUAUGCACUAAAGUGGAUUAGGUGGAGCUCUUUUAAAAUCCUAAUCUGUUGACUUGUCACUUAGGAGGAGAAAAUGUGAAGCUCAAACUUGCUUUUUCUCAUGAUGCAAGAUAAGAUAUGUCAGAAAAAAUUAUUCAUUUUUGAAAUGAAGUAUCUUCAAGAUGCAGUACUCAAAUAGAAAUAACACUACUGGUAUCAUUAAAAGCUUUGCUGGAUUUUUACCAUUCUUGGUUUCAUUUGAAUAACCUUGCCAGAGACCAAUACAGAAAAAUGUACAAGGCUUAAAACUCUAAUUAUUUGCAGUGUAUAAACAAAGGCAUUAAUGUUUAAUCUUUGCAUAGAGGUAUUUUUGAUGUCAACUCUGCUGUGGUGGUGCAGGUGGCAGGAGUGCCACGACCUCUCUGAAGAAGUAUCCUGAGAAAGAUGGCUCUCAGAGACACAGGAAUAUCCCUCUCUUAGCCUGGGCAACCUGGAGUCUUCCAAAACCUCUGUGAGACUGCUUGAAGAAGCUCAGCUUAAAGGGGACACGUUGUCACUGAGAGCAUACUGCUUUGCAAUGGCAACUGCUCUCAAGCAGAAUGAUAUAGCACAAGCCAAAUUUUAUUGAUCCCAGAUAAUGAGAACAGAGAACAAACUAUACAAUAAUCUUAAAGUCCUCGUCCAGCUCAGAUCUGGUUUGCUAAAAGAGGUAAUAAAUGCAUUAGAGGCAGCAGUGGAAGUAGAUGCUCCUCCCUUUGUGAAAAGAACAGAGUUUUCUGAGCAGGUGGUACGUAUACAGUGAUGAGAGAAUGUUCAUGGUACUGGGCUGAGCCAUGACAGUGGUGGCUCAGCAACAGAACUGCAGAUAACUGUGUUUGCCCUGCUAGUGGUUUUGCCCUUUGUAGUAGUUUGGGUUCUGAUGCAUUCCACUGCCAAAGCAGCUGGCUGGCUUCUUGUACUCUUGGACAAAACACUUCGCUGAGAACUUCAUUUUUUAUUGUGGAUCUUGCUUCUAGAAGCUCAUAUUUCUUCUGAGUGUAGAUGACACUGUCCCUAGUGGCAUUAAAUUAUUUAAUUCCUUUCCUCCCCUGCUGUUUUCAUUUCAUAUGAAAUGAGAAUAAAGUUUCUGGUAACAGCA